rnacentral:rRNA from 1 species
UACGAAGGGGGCUAGCGUUGUUCGGAUUUACUGGGCGUAAAGCGCAUGUAGGCGGAUAUUUAAGUCAGAGGUGAAAUCCCAGGGCUCAACCCUGGAACUGCCUUUGAUACUGGAUGUCUUGAGUAUGGAAGAGGUGAGUGGAAUUCCGAGUGUAGAGGUAAAAUUCGUAGAUAUUCGGAGGAACACCAGUGGCGAAGGCGGCUCACUGGUCCAUUACUGACGCUGAGGUGCGAAAGCGUGGGGAGCAAACAGG